AGGGCACCACCAGGAGUGGAGCCUGCGGCUUAAUUUGACUCAACACGGGGAAACUCACCCGGCCCGGACACCGUAAGGAUUGACAGAUUGAUAGCUUUUUCAUGAUUCGGUGGAUGGUGGUGCAUGGCCGUUCUUAGUUCGUGGAGCGAUUUGUCUGGUUUAUUCCGAUAACGAGCGAGACUCUAGCCCACUAAAUAGUUCGCACAUUGUCUCUGUGUGUGUGACUUCUUAGAGGGAUUUUCGGUGUUCAGCCGCACGAAAUUGAGCAAUAACAGGUCUGUGAUGCCCUUAGAUGUCCGGGGCUGCACGCGCGCUACACUGGCAAAAUCAGCGUGCUUGUCCUUCCCCGAAAGGGGUUGGUAAACCCUUGAAAAUUUGCCGUGAUUGGGAUUGGAAAUUGCAAUUAUUUUCCAUGAACGAGGAAUUCCAAGUAAGUGCGAGUCAUCAGCUCGCGUUGAUUACGUCCCUGCCCUUUGUACACACCGCCCGUCGCUGCCCGGGACUGAGCCAUUUCGAGAA
rnacentral:rRNA from 1 species